GAUGAACGCUGGCGGCGUGCCUAACACAUGCAAGUCGAACGGAGAUUACGGACGGAAGUUUUCGGAUAGAAGCCUGUAAUUCUUAGUGGCGGACGGGUGAGUAACGCGUGGGCAACCUGCCCUAUACAGGGGGAUAGCAGCUGGAAACGGCUGGUAAGACCGCAUAAGUCGGUUAAAUCGCAUGAUUUGAUCGGGAAAUGAGCAAUCAGGUAUAGGAUGGGCCCGCGUCCGAUUAGCCAGUUGGCAGGGUAAAAGCCUACCAAAGCGACGAUCGGUAGCCGGACUGAGAGGUCGGACGGCCACAUUGGGACUGAGACACGGCCCAAACUCCUACGGGAGGCAGCAGUGGGGGAUAUUGCACAAUGGAGGAAACUCUGAUGCAGCGACGCCGCGUGAGUGAAGAAGUAUUUCGGUAUGUAAAGCUCUAUCAGCAGGGAAGAUGAUGACGGUACCUGACUAAGAAGCCCCGGCUAACUACGUG
rnacentral:rRNA from 1 species